AAACGCUGUAUGCUUGGAAACUUGCUUGUACGGUGUUGUGCGAGGCUCAAAAAAACCUAAUUAUUAGCUAAUAAUUAAGGCGUUUUGUUUCUAUCGCGAU
rfam:Onion yellows phytoplasma OY-M DNA, complete genome.